GAUGAACGCUGGCGGCGUGCCUAAUACAUGCAAGUCGAGCGACCAGACGAUGAGCUUUCUCCUCUGACGUUAGCGGCGGACGGGUGAGUAACACGUGGAUAACCUACCUAUUAUACUGGGAUAAUUUCGGAAAACCGGAGCUAAUACCCGAUAAUAUAUUGAACCGCAUGGUUCAAUAGUUAAAGACAGUUUUGCUGUCACUUAUAGAUGGAUCCGGGCCGGAUUAGCUAGUUGGUAAGGUAACGGCUUACCAAGGCAACGAUGCGUAGCCGACCUGAGAGGGUGAUCGGCCACACUGGAACUGAGACACGGUCCAGACUCCUACGGGAGGCAGCAGUGGGGAAUAUUGGGCAAUGGGCGAAAGCCUGACGGAGCCACGCCGCGUGAGUGAUGAAGGUCUUCGGAUCGUAAAACUCUGUUAUUGGGGAAGAAAAGAUGUGGGAGUAACUAUGCACGUGUUGACGGUACCUAAUGAGAAAGCACCGGCUAACUACGUG
rnacentral:rRNA from 1 species